rnacentral:rRNA from 1 species
GAUUGAACGCUGGCGGAAUGCUUUACACAUGCAAGUCGAGCGGCAGCGCGGGGGCAACCCUGGCGGCGAGCGGCGAACGGGUGAGUAAUCGAUCGGAACGUAUCCUGUAAUGGGGGAUAGCUCGGCGAAAGCCGGAUUAAUACCGCAUACGCUCUCAGGAGGAAAGUGGGGGAUCCGCAAGGACCUCACGUUAGAGGAGCGGCCGAUCGCUGAUUAGCUAGUUGGUGGGGUAAGGGCCCACCAAGGCGAUGAUCAGUAGCUGGUCUGAGAGGAUGAUCAGCCACACUGGGACUGAGACACGGCCCAGACUCCUACGGGACGGCAGCAGUGGGGAA